rnacentral:tRNA from 1 species
GUUAUUAUAGUUUAAUAAAACAUUAGGAUGUGAACCUAAAAAUAGAAGUUUAACCCUUCUUAAAGACC